UCAAAGUGCUGGGAUUACAGGCAUGAGCCAUUGCAUCACCAUUUUUUUUUUUUUGAAUGGUCAGAGGUUGUCGUGUUCAUGGCAGUCACAUGGCACAAGCCAAGCCUGGCUCUGAGCUCUGGCUCUGAGCUUGAGGGGGUGACACCUUGUCAUCCUGGUUCUGCCGUUCGUUUAGUGAGUGGCUUUUGGUGACCCGCCUGCCCUCUCUGCCGGCUGUCUGCUCUCCAGCUGGCGGGCGGUGAUCUCUGCAGGGCUCCACGGGAGCAGCGAGGGUGAAGAUGGCGAGGAAGGAGCAAGUCAUCCUGUGUCCACAGCCUUCUCGGAGACAUCGCUGCACCUGGGGCUGCUGGCCCUUCUCGAGAGGAGCCGGGCCUGAGGGCUAGAUUAACCUUCACUGGGCACAGUGGGGAGGGGACAGGAGUUGAGGGGACAGCACUGACCGAGGCGGAAUCCCUGCCCCCACGCAGCUGGUGACAGCUGGGAAGGACAAGGCAAACACUCAGAAUACGAAACACGCAGCUUCAUAACAGAAGUCAGAGUGACACUCCCCAGACUCUGCCUGGGACACAGGGGCCCUCGGGGGAGGCGGGUCUGGAGGGCUCAGCGGGUUUGGGAAAUGAAGGAGGGAAGGGCCCUCCGGGCAGCAGGCCGAGCGAGCGCAGCCUCCCCCCUCCCCCCGGCACUGGGUCCCCGGAGGCUGGGGACACAGCUUGCCACCUCCUCCCUUGUCUCCUCAUACCAGCAAAGACAGCAGCUGCUGUUUCUUACGUGCUUUCUACAUGCCCGGCCCUGUUUGAUGCUGGACAGGUGACACCUCCUGCAGCCUGGCAGCAACCCUGUCACGUCACUGUCAUCACCCCGUUUUACCAGCUACGUCUCAGAGAAGUGCAGUAACUUGCCCAGCGUCAAACAGCUGCUAAGAUCCCAGCGCGGCUCCUCCCCACUCCGCGCAUCCCGGGCGUGUGGGAAAGGCGUGGGCUGGGGCUUCUCCUCCGUCCCCGCCCAGCGCGCGCACACGCGACCACCUCUGGAGGCGCGUGUCCCGGCUGGGGUGCCUGUCUGCAUGUGUGGCUCAGAAGGCAGCCAAGCUGAUCUGAGUGCUCAUCUGGAUGCUUCAUUAGGAUCCCAAGACAUCUGGGGAGCAGCAAUGGAAGGAAGGAAAGAAACCUCCCUGUGUUGAGUGCCUAUUACGUGCUCACGUUGUGCUAAGCCCUUACCCACAUGUUAACCCAUGUAAUCCCCCACAAAAACCCUGACACAGUGGAAUUAUUCUUCCCAUUUUACAAAUGAGAAAACAGUAGCCCAGAGACGCUAAGUUACCUGCCCAAGGUCACAUAGACAGUAAAGCCAGUAGUUGCGGAAUUUGACUCAAGAGAGUGACAAAAUUGGGGGGGUUGUUUGGGGGGUGGUUUUAGCUGCAGCCAUCAUCUCUAGCAGCCCUCUUCCCUGUAAUUACUGUAAAACAAACACGCAAAAAUCUAAACAGGAAGAGCCUGCAGGAGAUAAAAUGAAUAUGCAAUCCCCUGCUACUGCCUUUUCAAUGAGAUUGCUGCCCCAAACCCUGUGUACACGGGUCUCCUAGAGUCCACACUAAAUCAAUAUUUACUUGGCUCCAAAGACCAUGUUCUUCCCAACACCACCAGGAUGGCUCCUCUCUCAGACCCCUACCAGGAAGACGGUCAUUGGUUUGAGUCUCCUACUCGGAAGAGCCAAUCAAUCAGUGUAGAAGUCCCCUGAUGGCGCCUGGCACCGUAGAUCUCAAAAUGUCACCAGCCUGCUCAAAGUCACCAGCCCUUUAAAAGCCCCCGCACAUCCCGGGGUACAGUGAUGCGUCCUAUCUCGGCAGAUUUGGACGAGUGAGGGCCUGGUGGCAUUCACGCAGAAUCUCCACAGAGGCAAAUCUCGGCCAUGAAAGACAGCUUUGCAGUCUCAAAAUAGGUCGGAGAAGUAUAUUUUGGGGUGAAAUAUUUUGAUUUCCUUCAGUGCAAUCUGUGAUCUCAGGGGCUGAUGGCAGAGGCGCUACCUGACGGCAAGGUAUGCAGUUGUCUCCCACAAGGUACACAGUUGUCUCCCUGGCACUCCAAGGACCUAGAAGGCCCCCAGGUCUUGCUCUUCUUGCUGCUCGGGCAGGUGGCCCUGGGGGAGUGCAGCCUGUCCCGUGUCUACCCUUCACCCCCAGGAGUUCUGCUCCUGGAGAUGAGACCCCCUCUCCCCUGUACCCCAUGGGGUGUUCUUCUGAUCUCAAAAUUGUCUCACUUUUAGGGCUCCACAUACAGUGGGUUCUCAAAUAUUCAUGAGUAAACGAACCAAUAUCUCACGUCGCACCCAUGAGACUCUGGGGGGCGGGUGUUGUUGGCAUUUCUCUGAGCAAGGGUGAUGCGCUCAUGGCCUUGGUCUGCAUGGUCUUAGAGGUGGGGAUCAAGCUGAGAGGCGGGAAUUCCAGGAAGAGCUCCCGCGUGUUCUGUGUGAGUAGCCGCGGGCUCACCUAGUCACCAAGUGGAACUAACAUCUUGCUGAAGGGGUGGCGGGUUGUGGGCCCUCUGGGGGCACAGGGAACUACCCCCGGGCAUUUUCUCAGAAUCGUUCCCGAGGUUCCAGGUGGGCUCCCAGGAACCGCGCAUGUGGCCGCCCUGCCCUUCGGAGUGAAGUUCAACUUCCGGAGCCAGCGUCACCCCUCAGCGCUCUCACUUCCCUUCCUUGCUCCCUGCCAGGCCCGGCCCCCAGCUUGUCUUAGCCCUCACCACACCUCAGCCUCCAGGGAGGCAGCUCCCGCCCACACCCGGAGCCGUCCGCUCUUUCCAAACACUCGGCCCACAUUUCGGGGUCUCCUACCCACUUGGACGUGGGAUUGGUAAGACGCGUUCUUCCUGACGUGGGUUUCCUCUUUCGUUUGCAGUUGGAAACCACGACCACAAAGCGACAUCCACAGCUCGCUGUAAUAGGCACUUGCAUAAUAGGGUUGGGGACAGUGUUUGGGGGAACAGGAUGGGGAGGCUCUGUCUUUCCAACACUUGUGGGAUUCAUUUUGGUGUGGCAAGGAAGUCUUACUGGGCCAUUUAAGAGAGAAGAAGGUAUUUCCUGGGAGGGAAGGCAACAUAAAAACUUGCCUUUUCUCGUUCCCUGUGCAGGUUACUAUGCACUCCUUUCCCCUCUGCCGGAUCUUUAGAUGCCUUUUCUUUGCUUUGCGAGAUGUGGCGCAUUGAUUCAACUUAGUGUCAAGGUGAAGCACUCAGACCCCGGUCAGGGGUCAGACUGCAAGUGUUCAAAUCCCAGCUGCAUCAUUUACCAGCUUUGUAGCCUGCCUCAGUUUCCUCAUCUAUAAAAUGGGGAUAAUAACAGGCCUUAACUCAUAAAUGGGGAUAGUAGUACUUAGCUCAUAUUAUAAGCUGAGUUACUACACAUAAACUCUUAAAAUCCUGCCUAGCAUUGUGUUUGCCAUUGUCACUAUCUACACGGACUUUCUGUUACUCUCCACUUUGCACAACUGUGCGUGGCCAUUUGAGAUUGCCAAGUGCUCAGUAGCCAGUUAGGCUGAUUUACCUGCAGUGUGUAUGUACACUGUGCCUUUUUCCUUUUCUGGAACUGAGCAACAUCUUCCAAGCUUCUCCACUCCAGGGGUGGGUGUAGUGUCUUCACUGCUCCUGGUGGAGAGGCGUUUAGCAAACAGAAACAGAUUCCUGAGACCCUCGUGGCCCCCUGUGAUUUGUAGUUGCUCUCUGGAGUGCGUGUUGUCCCUUGUCUAUUGCAGGCCCAAAUCAUGGUUGCCGGCAGCCGUCAUGUCGGCCACCUAGGUGAGAGGUCAGUAUGCCAAUCAUGCCCAUCCGGAAAUGACUUGGUUUCCCUAUACAAGCUCCCAGAUUGCCCUGGCCCCCCCUGCCCACUCCCAUCAGCUGCCGAAUCCCCGCAAACAGCGAUGACUUCUGCAGGCUGGGAGGAUGUCCCUGUGAAAACACCCCAGUCUGCCCGUGCGUCCGGGCUGUGCCGGGGAAACACAGGAGAUUUGAAUGAUAUCAAGGAAACCAUGCAAUCGCAAUAUGUGAAAAAAUGACUCUGCCAACACAGCCGGCUAGUAUUCGGCUAUUAAACCCGAGGCCGGGUUAUAUGCCCUAAGCCUUUCAUUCGAGCGAAGUAGCUUGGAAAGGAAUACCUUUGGCACAUUGGCAAUGCCUUCCCCAACCCCCACUGGGUGUCACUGGCUGCGUGACCGGCGGCCGGCUCUCAGUCAGUGGUGACAGUUGUACAUGGCCCACCUUCUUGCCAGGGGGUUCUGUGUCUCUCCCCUGGACACCUUCUCGCCCUCCACGUGAAAUACGGUGUGGACCUGCACACUGCCUCUCCCACGACGUGAAAGGCAUAAGAGAGAAUCUCUGAGGAGGUACGGUGCUACAGCUACAGCUCUGUCGCCUGCUGAGGCUGGUACCCCGUGCCUAGGGACGUACAAGCUCUAACAGGAGCUCCGCGUUUGUGCCCCACUGCCAGAGCCGAGCAGAGCUCCCUUCGGAGAGCUCUGACGUGUGUAUAGCUCCGUGGACUCGAUCCUUUACCAUCUGGACUUGCCAGAAUUGCGUGAGGACUGUUUGUGGUCACAGGGGCCUGGCCUGCAGGCCGGGAGAAAGGCCAUGAUGUUGAUAUUCAUGCUACCAGUAACGACAGGAAAGGCAACAGUGACAGCAUCAGUCAUUAGCAAGGUCCCACGGGUACCAGCUGCCACAGUAGAUAAUCCGUGCUGUCACAGUAGCACAUCUGUCUCAUCUCAGCAUGCCAACAACCAAGCCAGGUCAGUGCCCUGCGGCUCCAGUUUGCACCUGCGGUGACUGAGGCUCAGCUAACGUUAGGUAACAAAGGUACGAGGCACGUGUAAGUGCCUGAGCUGUGAUUCAAACACACACCUGUCGGGUGCCCAAGCUCAUCCUUGCUCCACUCUACCAAGAGGCCUCCCAUUCCUUGGUCCUGCCCAGGGACAAGAAUCAGACAGAUCUCUAGGCAAAGCUCCAGAAGGUGACCAUUCUGGUUACAUAACCGGACAAUCGACUCCAUCGUGGGAACUGGCUCCGAUGACUCACACGUCACUGCAAAGGGUCUCCUGCAGCUCUGACACUAGGGUGCUUCUCCGCACCUGCUCACCCCCCUCCCGUGAGAAGAACCAUCUUUCAUCCUCAUAGCUAUGAUUUUUUCAAGCAUCGGUUUUAAUUCGGGGCACCCUCUCUCUUUGGGAGAUUGCAAAAAUUAAAUCGUUUUUAAGCAACCCAACAACACUUCUGGGGUUUGUAAUAACCUUGUGAAAUUUGCGGAACUUGGCGGUUGAGGUUCUCUCCGUCCUACUUCCCCGGGGCCCUGAGGAGCUGUGAGUUGGCCCUUCAUGCUCUCUUGUUUAGAGCUCAUCUUGCCAAGUGUGGCUUGGCCAUUGCGUCUUGGACCAAAGAGCAAUGGAUCCUAAAACAAUCAAGGGGUUCUGGAACAGCAACCCCCAAAACAGGUGUCUGGCCCUGCCGUCCCUCCAUUAUUUGGGAAAAGUCAGACGGGCCAUAGGUGGGUGGGUGGUCCCACCUGCAGAGGCCAACCUUGUCGCUUUCCACAGGGUUAGACUAUUGAGCGGGGGCACAAAUGAGUAGCCAACUUCCUCCUGCAAGGGUUCUUCCUCUCCCCUUCAAUCCAAUGACUGCAGGGUCCCUUGAAGAGUGGGCCCACGCUCCAGUUGGUGACCUCUGCUUCCUCUGCUCUGCAGAACAUCCUUUCCACUUGCAGAAAACAGCAGCAAGAUGCUUUCCACGCUCCUACUGCCACUGGCCUUGCAAUGUCACGGCCUCAGCUGAGCAUGCAAGGCUGGCGUGGUUCUGGCUCCUCCAAACUCUUAGCUGGAAGCUCAGCUUCGUGUGGUCAAGACUUGGAUGGUGUCACCGCCAGCAGGGUGAACGGAACGUCAUGACUCAUCCUUCCUGUGCAGGGCCUUUGACACGACAGAGGGGGCCAUUGUCUCUGUAGCAGGAUGAUGGGAAACAAGGGGCCAGAAGGCACUUUGCCUUUACUUUUUGUCCUUGGUACUUGGAAGGCAAUACCCCUGCAUUUUUCUAAUCGUAUCAGUUGAGAAUCUGGAGCCUGGGCCACAAGGCUGGAUUCUAACCCUGUCUCGGCACAUCGCCAGCCACACUCUGCACAUUUUCCUCAUCUGCACAGUGGAGUUAGUGACAGUGCCUACCUCAUGGAACUGUCACAAGGAUUAAACGAGCUAAUGCACAGGAGGAGUUUAGAACAAUGCCUGAAAGAUAGUAAAUGUGUACCAUUAAUUGCAUUUGACUAUAUUUCUGCUGUGUAGUUACUGCUGCCCAGUCAUAUAUUCUAACAGAUAAACAGUGGAGACAGCCAGGGAGCUGUCUCGGUGUUUGGUGAGCCUCAGGGACAAAGGACAUCACAGACCCUCAACAGAAUGAUGGCUUCCAAAGACGCCCGGAUCCCAACUACCAGAACCUGGGACACGGCUGGUUACCUGGCAAAGGGGAGUGAAGGCUGCAGAAGGAAUUAAAGACGCUCACUGGGAAGCCUUAAGACAGAGAAGUUAGCCUGGAUUCUCAGGGUGGACCCAAUGCAGUCACAGCGUGCUGAAAGGUGGAAGAGGGAGACAGAGGAGG